CUGGAGAAUUUGAUGAAUUCUAUGCAUCUGAAAGGCCUCCGAUGCUUAAGACCUUUUUUUUCUUUUCAAGUCUCAAACAUUUAUUGAACACGUAUAUGUGCCAAGCGCUAUUCUCAAACUGCCCCAUGAGGAAUGGACCACAGAGCUCCAUUUUACAGAUGAAAGAAACCAAGGCUUCAAAAGGAAGCUACACUGAAGCAGAAAGAACUAGUGGUACCCCUGGAAGCCACACCUGCUCUUCCUAUGCUCCAGGGCUCUGUGCCAUUCCUGCAGCUUGAGCCAGGAGGAAUGUUUGCAAGGAUACCAGCCAUUUUGCCAAUGUGCACAGUUUUUCUUUAGUCAUUACUGGAGGAGACUGACUUUCUUCUGUUUCAAAUAUCUAAAGAUCACUUUCAGAGCAAACUGGGAGUAAACUAACUGGAUGGGCUAAUCCUACCUUGGAUCCUCCUCUGCCAUUUCAUUGUUAGAAUCAAUUUCUGCAGGAGUAUUUCACAUAUUUUACUGUCAGUGUCUCUGCAAACCCAACACAUUAUGGAGGAGAGAGCAAGCCUCUGAAGCCAGACACACCUGAGAUUAAAUCCUGGUUCUGCCAUUUUAUUAGCCAUGUGACUUUAAAAGGUUACUUAAUCUCUCAGGGCCUUGAUUUCCUCAUCUGUAAAAUCGGGUAAGAAUGCCUACUUUGUUUUAUUUGUUGUUGUUGUUUUGUCCGGUUUGGGGUGUUUGUUUGUUUGAUAGAGACAGUGUCGUACUCUUGCCCAAGCUGGAGUGCACUG
rnacentral:lncRNA from 1 species